CACGUAGGGGGCGAGCGUUGUCCGGAUUUAUUGGGCGUAAAGAGCUCGUAGGCGGCUAAGUAAGUCAGGUGUGAAAACUCCAGGCUCAACCUGGAGACGCCACCUGAUACUGCUUUGGCUAGAGUCCGGUAGGGGAGCAUGGAAUUCCUGGUGUAGCGGUGAAAUGCGCAGAUAUCAGGAGGAACACCGGUGGCGAAGGCGGCAUCCUGGACCGGCAUUGACGCUGAGGCGCGAAAGCCAGGGGAGCAAACGGG
rnacentral:rRNA from 1 species